AUAGUAAACAUAGACCGUUCGAGGGCCGCAGUUUGUAUCGUGCGCGUGUGAAGAGCAGAACGCUUUGCUCCGGCGUGAUACAAAGUGUCCGUUGACGUGGUUCGCACAGUGGCUGUGGUUUAUCGACAACCUGUCGCUCAGCUCGCUGAAGACGACGUCGAAAGUGCAGCGGGGCCCUUUUCCCUUCUGACGAAGCUGCUGUACGUGGUAAUACAGUGUGUAGUCGAAGUUUCGUUCGAGUUUGCACGUCGGAUCUGAUUACAUCCUUCGAUGGGCUUCGUACAACAUCGUGUACGUGCCUCGUUCACCUGACACACAAGUGCUUACAGAUUCUACGCACGUAAGCACGGAGAACAUCCUGAGCUCGGUAAGUGGCGUAUGGAGAUAUCCAAAGGGGGUUGGAUAGCUGGAAUGGUUCGCGAGGGUGCCGGCGAAGGGUGGUAGCGUGGCAGAGAGAAGGGUGAAGCAGGUGGAUGGAUACAGAGGACGGAAGACGACACGGUGAAGGAGAGAGAGAGAGGGGGAUGAUCAGAGUCAGGGAAGAUAAAAGCAAAGAGUGAGAGUGAAGACAAUUCCACCUUUACGAGGGUUAACACCCCCGGAAGGAGGACCAUCAUCCACUUCGCAAAAUCGCGAACGACCACGGAGGAGGUGGCAGGUACCUACCUGGGGCGAAGUCUUCGUUCCACCUGUGAGCUUGGAUUUUCGCGUGCGGAACUUCUCCCUUGCCGUGAUCCGAGUGGGCUGAGAAACGGUAGCGAAGGAAGAGAGUCGCCCCGUGGCACGUGGCAGCCACGUAUUUCAAUAAUAGCAGGAAUUAAAGUCGAGGACGAGGGGUAAGGUAGGUUCGUUCGGACGGCAACCGUUUUCUUUUCCCUACCGACCCACUGCCCUUUUUUCCGUCUCCUUCUGCACCGGCAGAAGUUCUUCAACUCGCUGCUGUAUUUUUUCUUUUUCUUUUUUUUCUUCACUUCCCUCUCCGUUCCCUUCCGGGACACAAUCGGAUUCUAACGCGUGCCCGUGGACCCGUGUGAGGAACCGCGCGCGACACCUUUUGCCCUCGCUUUCUUGCGGACAUCACACGUUCUUCAUUCUUUCUCUAUCCUCCUCGCCUCUUCGUCACCUCGGCGAGGAUCCAGACGACCAGGUAGCGUUCCUCUAGCAUCCUGAUUAUGCCACGGAUCCUGAACAUGCUGGUUAAAUCGCCACCUACCCUACUGUCUCGUUUUAUCCAGGUAGCCGUGAGAUUUUUAUUGCGACAGCUUUGACCCAUUGAUCUGCUCCUGUAAUUCCUUCCUCUUCUUCUUUUACGGACCCGAUCUCUUUUCUUUUUUUUCGUGUAAGAACGACGGUCGUGCGGUGUCACGAGACAUCAUAUUGCGAAAUCGUGUUCCUACUCUUGUUGUCUCCUCGACCACUUCAUUCUCGGAAGGUCUUGUUCGGACGGACCCGAAUGGCGGAGGAACUUUGUCGCAACAGGUUGCAUCGACCGUCUAUUGACCCUGGUAAUUCAAACUCCAAUCGGCUUGAGAGCAAUAACGCGGAAUUUCGGGUGCAUGCUUUGUCGAAACGGUGUUUUGGUGUAUCGUACCCUUGAAAGUGCUGCUCCGUAAGUAGGUUAGGGUUAAAUUAAUAACGAGGCUUAAUUGACGCUGAACUGCGGAGGUAAUACGCGGAGAUUUCUUAGGGUAAAUAUCCUUUUUCUUUUUUCUCAAUAAUUCACUGUCCCUAUAUUUUAAUAUUCCUCUCAAUUUCACAAUGAUGCCAAAUUUAAAUACCUAAUUUAUCCUGGAACGUCCCUUAUUAAAAAGACCGACUUCUUUCGUAAGAAAAGAAAUUUAUUUUCCAUGUUAAUUCGAUGAAUCUGUUCCGUGUCUUAAUUGGUUACACCGCUCGCGAACCAUUUCUCACGGGCAAGAAAAAGAGAAACAUCAGAGUCACUCGAUCACGGAAAUGAUCCAGACACGAAACACCGUUGUUAAUCGACGAGAAAGAAAGAAAAAUGAGCUAUCCCUGCAAUCUAGACCGAUCAAUUACCGAAAGAUUCAUUUAACCGGCAUCGUAUUCUUAUCACAUCCUCGUAAUGACUGCGAAUUGGUGUCAUAAGCGGCGAACGUGUACGAAGGUUAUACGCGUAAGAGGCGGGAAGUUCCUUUGGCGGAAGAAAAAUUGAACGGGGCGCCUCGGAGCGUGUUCCUGGAAUUGAAUCAAACAAGUGUUACCACCCUCUUCGAGUAUAAUAUAUCUUCUAACAUUCUGCAGAGGGACCGAGACGGAUAGCUCCCUGGCCUGUUCCAGGAUAUACCUGAUCCCCACGUAGAGAUCCACGUCCGUUUCAGGAUUUUCUUUUUGCGUCCCGCGUUGCACGCCUCCGGGAACGAAAUUGAUGUUUGUACUGUUCAAAAUCGUCGAGAUACGCUGUUUCACCUUCCCUGUACGUGUGCGCGUACGUGUGUCACCGUGCGGACGAUGUUAAAAAUGAUUCCGUGAGAAAGUAUGACGCUGCUGGAACCGGCUUGAAUGAUGAUGUACACCGGCUGGACGCGGACUAACUUCGUCUGUCAAGACAGCCCUGUUGUUCGUUCUGCGUUUAUUAUUUUAUCUCCUCUCUUUGGCAACGCGCGUCUUCAAUGACGUGGAUGCGCGUACUUCUUUACUGUUCAUUUGCAACGUAUACUUAAAUCAACCCCCGUGGCAGCGGCUUAAGGUAUCGUAGCGCCACAAGUCGCAUCUCAAAUAAUUGUUUCUUUAUGUUACAAUUUAUCAUAUUAUUAUUGGUAUUUAAAAUUUAAUUUAUUUUUAUAUUUUGCAAUUUUUGUGGUAACAUAACUUCAUAAAAUAUAAAAAUCAAUUUACAAGGGUUGCAAUAAGAGUCAUUAACAUUUCUACCAUCAGGGUAAAUGUUGACUGUGCGAUGAUUGGCAGCGUAACAAUAAUUUCGUAAAUUGGUCAGGAUAAUUUUAUUUUAAGGGUUAAGACUGCACGUGUUGCAGGAUACCGUGUCGAAGAUACGGUGUAAAAGCAACCUCCUGGUAGACACAGUACGAUAACGAGUCUCAUCAUUGACAAGCAUUAUCCUUUCACGCGAUCACCUUUGACUGACAAACCAAUUAUUCGGCACUCGGCGCUGACGAGCCAACUAUUUUAUCAAUCAGCGCCGGCGGCCCUCUUCGUGGUCAGAAGAAACGACGCUGUUUUGUGCAUACACGAGGAGCGAGGUGGACGAAGAGAGACGAGAAGAAGCGCGGGUGUUCAUCGUCGAAGAGAGCUAUAAUAGCACGAAACAUAAUCCUCGGGCGAAUCUAACGAGUCCUGGAAGAGCGAGCUGGACCAAAGGUAGAAAGAGGAAGUUGGAAAAGGGUGAGAUGAAGGACGAAGGAACUCGUCUUUGGGCUGAACGAGGAGAGGGAGCCGGGUAAUGAAGAAGGUUCGAGUAAGGAUGAAGAGAAAGAAGGAGGAUCGAAAGAUUGAAUGUCAGAGGGACAGAGGGGAUAGCGGUUCGGCGCCUCUCCGAUCAUUCUUCAGUCUAGCGCAACGACUCAUCGGCUUUUUUACCGGCGUGGCUCUGAGAAGACGUUAAAAUUGCUCUAAUGGUGGACCAAAGAGAAAAGCCAUGCCCGACAGAAGAAACGAAUUCAUAAAGGAACCAGGAACUGGCUGGGAUUGACGAAGCGCCACAAACAUAAUCCCAAGACAUCAGGCUGUGUUGGAAACCGACCUGGGUCAACGGGCUACAACUGUGUCUCGACCUGCAGUCGAUUCUUUAUCAUCGCUUCUGUGGUCGUGUGUGUCACAGAUUCGAAAAGACCUUGACAUUCAGGAUUCGGCAAAGCGAGGAGCAUCCAUCCCGAGCGGAACAGCAGCAGUCCCUAGUGACCUGCAUCGAGUGCACGGUAUCCAAAGUUUCCAGGAGAUCAGCGAGAGUAGCUGAAAGAGAAAGAGGGACGGAGAGCUUACCUGGAGGAUCUUCUGGUAGAGGGCACGUAACCGGUGGUAGGAUGACAGAUAUGGCGUGCCGGAGACUGUGACCUUGAACUCGAGGGUUCCCUCGCACUCCUGGGGUCCUCGAGCGUGAGGCGCCGAAUGUACAAUCCUGGCACCUCCUCCACGAGCUGAUGUCUUCUGUACGAAGCCACAGUGACUGGUCCAACCGAUUCUCACCAUCGAUCAUCCGUCCUCGUUCUCUUCUAUUUCUUUUUCGUUCUCCUUACUUUUUCUUUCUUCCUCAGGUCUGAACUCGAACAGCGACCUUGAACCGUGACGUUGAGCCGUGUUCGACAGGAUUGUUGCAAACUUUCGUUGCGAGCCGAGGUGCCCUUCCUGCAGGCAACAUUGUUGCGGUUUUAAAGGAGAAGGUACCGGGAGAUUGAAUAACCAUGUUGUGUCGGGUUUUCAGCUUGUUUCAGGUUUCACGAGGCGAUCGUGCGUCGCGGAUCAUCGAGCCGGGAGUUGCAAAAGGGAUUACAUAAGCGGAGGAAAGAUCAGAAGGUAAUUGUACGUUGCUCGAUUAAAUUGUGCUACUAAGUUGGGAAACGUGAUCGGUCGUGCAACGAUGUGACUGAUCCCUGGCAAGAUCGUUCCGAUUGCUAACAGGAUAUAUAUAUAUACGAUGAUAUCGGAGGAGAAAUAAUUAGAGCUGCUUCGGGUUAUGGGAAACAGUGCUGUCAUCGAGCUAAACCGUGAGCAAUCGUGAAGUAACGAGGUGAUUGAGCUAGUUGAAAAGAGGAAUUUUCUACUUUGUUAAUAGAGAGUUUCAGUUCUGAACUAGUUUAGGUGAUCCGGAGAGAAAUUGAUGUUUCAAUUGCACGAAUAGUGAAGUUUGUGACGAUGAAGUUCCAUUUACAUUGAAUCAAAAAGGUAUUUUCGGUUAUAGUUUUAUUGAAAGAAUAUUGAUUACAUCAAAUAAUUACAAGAAAGCAAAGUGUGUCGAUACAUUUUUGAUUCGUUAAGUUUAUUCUUUUUAAUAGCAGUUUCUAUUCCUCCUCGGUUAAACAGGUACCAUUUAAGAAUUUAUUAAAAAAAAAUUGUACUGGAGAAUUUCUCGACGUGGCUCUGACAAUCCUAAUUGCCAAAUCUGAGGGGCCUAUUAAAGUGGCGUCUCCAAACGAUCACAUAACUGGUGUUGCUUAUUUAACAGGUCAAAUUCGAGGUUCCUGCGAUCCAUCAACACGUUGAGAACAAAAUCAACACGGUUGAAAUUGCCUGGUGUCGUAUCAAACGAUACAUCGGUUUCAGGUAAUUCCCGAUCAGCAGGUGGUCCGAUUUCGGUUGAACCGCAGAGGGAUUCGCUUUCGAGAGCGUGACACGCAUUAAAAGCGUUGUUUAGUAGGUUACUUCGAAUCUUGUUUCUCCUGUUUUCGAUUGAUGGGUAAAAAGCAGUGGGAUAGGUUGAGGAGUAGGUCACAUUUUAGAAUGAUUUCUUUAACAGUUUUUGUUCGAUGAUUAUUCAAAUAAAAUAAAUACUUGUUAUAAGGGUUUAACACUCAUAAUAAUCUAUCGCCUAUACUUAGGGUCGGAUUAAGAUUUUCAAGCCUCAGGGGUAUCAAACAUUUCAGGGCGCUAAUGGUUGACAAACUUGGUUCAAAAAUUAAAAUCUAAAUUAAAUAAUAUUUGAUCGUAACAGUAAAGAAAUUUCAUUCAAUAUUUGUUGAGAUCGAUAGUAAAUGGAAGACUUAUAAUGGUGUCCUUUGGAAAAUGCAACUCGGGGUUCCACCCUCUUAUUGUUAGAUCUUCUCUUCUAUUUAAAUAAACAGCAUAGGAAAAUAAGUACCUCUUAUAAUAUUUCCUGCUUUGCUUUUAAGAGUGUACCAAGAAGGAAGAAACAUUUUCCAUCGGUCUAUGAAAACAUGAUCCUCUUUAAAAGCUUUCCAACGCGUCUAAAGAAUUUUUAUUCCCCAGCAUCGGAAUACAAUUCAGCCCGUACUGAAAAUCGCUAACGAGCAAAUAAACUCGUGCCCCGCGAUAAUCGCGUUCACGAAGCGAGCGUCCCGUAAUUAAAAGCUGAACGUCCUUCUGAUAUCGCCAGCUACCGAACAACGAAAUUCCCUCCAGGACCCAUUAACAUAGCUCGUGGCGCUCUCGUUAAUCACCUAUUUUAUCGCCAUUAACGUUCCCGUUCGCCGAUUAACUCGAGCCUGGAACGCGCGCGAAACAUCGUUACGAAUUAAUGGUCGUUUCGAUGGAAUCACCGGUGGUCCAGCUCGAAAUAGCGAAUAGGAAAUAUAAGAUUCCUUUGAAAUCGUGUCAGCCAAGUCGGUUAGUUAACACAUUCGCUUUAAUGUUCAAGGUAUUAGAAGAUUCAUUGUAUAAUACUUCAAUUUUUAAGAAAUUUUUACAAUAUUUGGUAAAUGUUUACAAUUAGGGCCCCAACGAGAAAUCAAUUGAAAAGAGGUAAAUUCUAUGUACUUUUGCCCCCCGAAUCCAAAACUGUUGAUAAAAUUUGGGGGUAGUUUGUAUUUUUUUUUGGAUUCAAAGGGCAAAAAUACAUA